UGGGGUGUAGCACAAUGGCAUAGCAUGUACUUAGCAUGCACAAGGCCCUGUGUUCAAUCCCCAGCACCAAAA
rnacentral:tRNA from 1 species